UGGGGAAUAUUGGACAAUGGGCGAAAGCCUGAUCCAGCCAUGCCGCGUGUGUGAAGAAGGUCUUCGGAUUGUAAAGCACUUUAAGUUGGGAGGAAGGGCAGUAAGUUAAUACCUUGCUGUUUUGACGUUACCGACAGAAUAAGCACCGGCUAACUCUGUGCCAGCAGCCGCGGUAAUACAGAGGGUGCAAGCGUUACUCGGAAGUACUGGGCGUAAAGCGCGCGUAGGUGGUUUGUUAAGUUGGAUGUGAAAGCCCCGGGCUCAACCUGGGAACUGCAUCCAAAACUGGCAAGCUAGAGUACGGUAGAGGGUGGUGGAAUUUCCUGUGUAGCGGUGAAAUGCGUAGAUAUAGGAAGGAACACCAGUGGCGAAGGCGACCACCUGGACUGAUACUGACACUGAGGUGCGAAAGCGUGGGGAGCAAACA
rnacentral:rRNA from 1 species